UGUGCCCUAGUUUCCUUGUCGCGACGCCGGUGCACACAGAAGCUUCCUCUCCUCUGCCGUCGCCUCUCAUUGUGGAGAUCUCAGGUUUGCCGCCCCUCUCCGAUCUCCCUUGCGCCAACACUGUGCCCUAGUUCAGCACUGCCGGAGCCACUCUUUUUCUUCAGUGUUGCCAUGCCGCCGGCAGAGUGGAGACAAGGGGCUCGGUCGGUGAAUACAACUCCGGUCAUCUUUGUGCGUGGGCGAUUCACAGCUUUGGGCAUAAACCAGUGCGGUUGAAUUGAGGACUUUGACGCGAGACGAGUAUCUCGGAGUCAGAUUUGGACCAUUUUAUCGG